rnacentral:rRNA from 1 species
UACAGGGGGCAAGCGUUGUUCGGAAUUACUGGGCGUAAAGGGCCAGUAGGCGGCCAACUAAGUCACACGUGAAAUCCCAGGCUUAACCUGGGAACUGCGUGUGAUACUGGAUGGCUUGAAUUCGGGAGAGGGAUGCAGAAUUUCCAGGUGUAGCGGUGAAAUGCGUAGAUAUCUGGAGGAACACCGAUGGCGAAGGCAAUCCCUGGGCCUGUACUGACGCUCAUGCACGAAAGCGUGGGGAGCAAACAGG